rnacentral:rRNA from 1 species
CAAUAGCGUAUAUUAAAGUUGUUGCAGUUAAAAAGCUCGUAGUUGAAUUUUUGCUUGCCGCCGAUGUCGGAACUUCCGUACGUUCGGCGGCGUGCAUCCUUGGGUGGAACCUGUGUGGCAUUAGGUUGUCGUGUAGGGGAUGCUCAUCGUUUACUGUGAAAAAAUUAGAGUGUUCAAAGCAGGCUUACGCCGUUGAAUAUAUUAGCAUGGAAUAAUAAGAUAGGACCUUGGUACUAUUUUGUUGGUUUGCGCACCGAGGUAAUGAUUAACAGGGACAGUUGGGGGUAUUCGUAUUCCAUUGUCAGAGGUGAAAUUCUUGGAUUUCUGGAAGACGAACUACUGCGAAAGCAUUUACCAAGGAUGUUUUCAUUAA